GGAUCGAUGAUGAUACCCUUGUAUGCAUUCCUUGGAAAAUCUGAACAAGAUGAGUGAGAAACACUCUACCGUCUCCUCAUCGAGUCUGAGGUCC
rnacentral:snoRNA from 1 species